rnacentral:rRNA from 1 species
AGGAUACACCUGUUCCCAUCCCGAACACAGUAGUUAAGCUCUUUAGCGCCAAUGGUAGUUGGGGGUCUCCCCCUGUGAGAGUAGGACGUUGCCAAGC